GAUGAACGCUGGCGGCGUGCCUAAUACAUGCAAGUCGAACGCAUUGAGAGAAGUGCUUGCACUUUUCAAUUUGAGUGGCGAACGGGUGAGUAACACGUGGGCAACCUACCUGAUAGCGGGGGAUAACGAGUGGAAACAUUCGCUAAUACCGCAUAACAAUAGAGAAGGCAUCUUCUUUAUUUAAAAGGCGCUUUCAAGCGUCACUAUCAGAUGGGCCCGCGGUGCAUUAGUUAGUUGGUGGGGUGAAGGCCUACCAAGACGAUGAUGCAUAGAGUAGUUGACAAGCUGAUGGGCCACAUUGGGACUGAGACACGGCACAAACUCCUACGGGAGGCUGCAGUAGGGAAUCUUCCACCAUGGACGAAAGUCUGAUGGAGCAACGCCGCGUGUGUGAUGAAGGCUUUCGGGUCGUAAAGCACUGUUGUAUGGGAAGAAAUGCUAGGCUAGGAAAUGAGCUUAGUUUGACGGUACCAUACCAGAAAGGGACGGCUAAAUACGUGCCAGCCGCCGCCGUAA
rnacentral:rRNA from 1 species